AUCACAUUUUGAAAUCUAUCUUCACUAAACUUCACCACAUGGUAGAGUUUGUCAUAAGGAUGAAGCCUCUUGUUUUUAAGGUCAACAAAUAAGGUGAGAUUUCUAAAUUCCUCAAUUUUCAUCCGAUUGACUUGAAAUUUGAAGAGGAUUUAUAUUUUCAGCUCACUGAAUUCAACUAGGCAAUUAUUUUUGAGGUCAACAUGGACCAAAAGGUCAAUAGGCCCAAGGUCAACAACUAAGGUGAUAUUUUAAAAAUUGUCAAUUUUCAUCCGAUUGACUUGAAAUUUGAAGAGGAUAUAUAUUUCAGGUCAUUGAAUUCAACUCCCGAUUAUUUUUGAGGUAAAAUUUGUUUUAUGGAUUUUGCAAGCAUCAUGCUCUGCACAACGUCGUCUUGUUAUUCCGUCUCUGUUUGUUUAUUGCCUACAGGUCACAAUUUUAAACCGAUAUCGUCGAGUUUGUCAUAAGGAAGAAGUCUAUUGUUUUUGAGGUCAAAAGGUCAACAUAGGCCAAAGGUCAACAACUUGGCUUGAUGGAUUGCUGGUGCCUCUGCCUCACCUCUUGCUCACCUUGACACUGGAAACCAAGGCCUUCAAGAUCAUUGGAAUCUCCUGUGACGAAGUUGAGUCUUUGGGCUGAUCACUUUCGCAUCGCAUCGCAUCGCAGACAGGUCUGGUCUGUCUGCCUUCUACCACCUUCUUCCUGAUCUUGUAUCUUCUGCUCUUCCCAUGCUUUACCCCCCUCUCCCCCAAACCAGGUAUCUGUAGGGCACCAUGUGGUCCACCAUCAAAUCCCAUUCUGAACUCCCGAAAUCCAGGAUCUCUGCCCCUCCACACUCGUUUGUUCCUCUAUUAAUUUUAUUUUUUCCCCCCACAUGUGGAACAAACUUUCACAUUCUCUUUAAUCUCAUUCUUCCCUCCAGGUCUUGAAAGACAGCUGUUCACCACCAUCUCAGAUCAUCCCUCAUCCAAAACCAUGAUCUUUUCUACCUCUGGAUAACAAUGUCUUCCUGCAUCGGUGUUCUGCCAGGCACUUGGAACUGCAGCCAGAGACAAGUGGAGCAGCACUUGGUUGAGAACCAUUGAUCUCGGGUGCAUAGUAUGGCCUUCUGUGUUUGUCGCUGUCUGGCAGGCAGGGCACUGGACUCGGUAUUGCUGUCUUAACUUUCCCUUGCAAGUGCUUCUCUCCACUCUGGCAUUUCAUGGGCCCCCUGCAAAGUUUUAUCAACACUUGUUGCUGCUCUUUCUGCUGCUCACGCAGGAGGUCAUGCAGGUUUCUUCUGUGAACCGGACACAGAGCCGAGGAGCGGCGUCGAUGUGCAGGCCCACACCAAGCCCACCACUCGGUUGGAUUUUGCAGAAAUGUCAAGGGAUGGACUGCAUGCAGCAGGAUUGUGCCACUUGAAGCAUCAUGCAGAAUGGACAUUGACAAUUUCGUGAAACUAAAGGAGUGAGCUGCAAGUCUCCCUCCAUUGUUUCGAGCAACGUCGGGUGGGCUGGUCCACCCCAAGUCAGGUCUUGCUCCUCAGUCAUUUGCAGAGAAUGAGGUUACUGGAGGAGAGCAAAAAGCUUGGCUCACCCUGUGGUGACAAGAUGCAGUUCGUAGAUGGAAGCAUAAGCAAUGGGCACUGAACCACAUUCCUAAAUCUGCUGUUUGAAGAUCAUUUUUCAUGAGUUUGAAUAUGACUUUUUGACUUCACACCCCC
ensembl:lincRNA